UCCGAGUUGUCCCCGGCAGUCUCUUUAGAGUCCCCACCAUUACGUGCUGGCAACUAAAGACAGGGGUUGCGCUCGUUGCGGCACUUAGGCCAACACCUCACGGCACGAGCUGACGACAGCCAUGCGGCACCCGCUUUCACGGGUUUCACCCUGCAUGUCAAGCCCAGGUGAGGUUCUUCGCGUCGCAUCGAAUUAAGCCACAUGCUCCGCCGCUUGUGCGGGCCCCCGUCAAUUCCUUUGAGUUUUAGCCUUGCGGCCGUACUCCCCAGGCGGGGUGCUUAAUGCGUUAGCUGCGGCACGGAGCGGGUUGAAGACCGCCCCACACCUAGCACCAAACGUUUACGGCUGGGACUAC
rnacentral:misc_RNA from 1 species